ensembl:lncRNA
CUACAACAUGCAUGUGAAGGUCAGAGUACAGCUUAUGGGAGUUGGUUGUCUUCUUGCACCGUGUGGGGUCCAGAGAUCAAACUCUGGUGGUCAGAUGAGGCUGCAAGACCUUUACUCAAUAAGACAUCUUGCCAGCCCCCUGCUCCACUCCUUCAUAUGUGCUAAAGUCUGAACAUUUGUGCCCAUGCUGCCAGGUAAUGGUAUCAGACACGGGUUACUUGGAAGGUCAGGUCACACUCCUACCCCAGUGCUGGAACAAUGAAGGACAGUCAUCUGGGAACCUGGAUGUGGCCCUCACCCCAAGCCAAGUCCUUCUGGACCAGUGUCUUGACCGUUGGACUCCAGAAACCUGAGCAGAGUCUACAUGUAGCUCACAUCACUUGAACUAACAGGACAUGGAAUGGGCCUCAUUAACAUCUGCAGCCGCAUAGCUGGCACGAGGUCUGACCCAGGUUCUUCAACAAAGAUCUGCCUUCCUAAGUACUGGCUGUCUAAAUGACUCCUGGUGGAGGGAGGGAGAAGACAGAGCAGGGGAACUCUAUUCUUCAUUUGGGUCUCUGGGAGCCUCUGGGCCUUACUCAGAGUGUCUAGGGACAGUGAACCAUCAGGGCUCUGUGCUGUCCCAACCCACUUUAAUCUGCUUUGCAUAGACUGAGGUUUCCUUGGCAGAGUUUCACAGCUCUUGAAAAGUUUGAAUACACCUCCCUGUCUCCUUACAGCUGUCUCUCCUUCAAGAGUUCUGUGGUCGGAAGGAGUGCUCUAGCAAGUCUUUGACUAUUGGCAAAGGAUAUGUGUUAUCCAGGCCCAGUGGCAGCCCCAGAUAUCCUGGCAUGUAAGGAAGAAGGAUGAGAAUUUGACCAGCUUUGACUGAACAAGGAGGGGCUCAGCUUUGGCCUUGCUUCCUAAGGAGAAGAAAGGGCAGCAGGGAUGAGUUUCCAGGCGCCAAGGAUGUGGAAGAAUGCCUGUUCCAGCUGGGAUGACAAUGCCUUAAUGUCUGUGGUCCCCAAGAGCCUGGAUGCCUCAGAUCAACCACUGCUACCUCUGGUCUCCAGAGGGAGGAUGGGGAAACUUCAGGCUGCAUGGUGGCCUGUUCUCUUCCAGACACCUGCAGUGAGAGCCAUGGUUCCAGCCAAGGAUCCCCAGCGCCAGAUUCAGGAACAUUUGUAGUAAGUAACAGGCUAUGUAUCCCUUACCUAGCCUGUUAAGCUGACUACCUUUCAGUGACGAUUCUGUGUGAUGUCAGAGACUGGAGACCAGAUGAGGGGGAGGGGCUUGGGUGAGCCGAACCAACUGUCCCAGGAGUACAAGCAGUAGGGCCCUAAGCUGGUGACUGUAUUAUUGGUGUCACUGAGAAUCUAGGCCAGGUUCCUGGAAAGAUAUGAGCAUUGAUAAUGAUGUGGGGAGAAAUUCAGUUUUGUGAUUUAUUUUGGGUCUUGUUACUUUUCUAUUGCUGUGAAGAGACAUCAUGACCAAGGCAAUUUUAGAAAUGAAGCAUUGAAUCUGGGCUCCCUUCCAGCCUCAGGGGAUGAG